rnacentral:rRNA from 1 species
CCUACGGGUGGCUGCAGUGGGGAAUAUUGGGCAAUGGGCGCAAGCCUGACCCAGCAACGCCGCGUGAAGGAAGAAGGCUUUCGGGUUGUAAACUUCUUUUCUCAUGGACGAAGCAAUUGACGGUACCUGAGGAAUAAGCCACGGCUAACUACGUGCCAGCAGCCGCGGUAAUACGGAGGUGGCAAGCGUUAUCAGGAUUUACUGGGUGUAAAGGGCGUGUAGGCGGGGACGAAAGUCAGAUGUGAAAAACACGGGCUCAACCUGUGGCCUGCAUUUGAAACUGGGUUUCUUGAGUACUGGGGAGGCAGACGGAAUUCGUGGUGUAGCGGUGAAAUGCGUAGAUAUUAGGAGGAACACCAGUGGCGAAGGCGGUUUGCUGGACAGCAACUGACGCUGAGGCGCGAAAGCGUGGGGAGCAAACAGGAUUAGAUACCCUUGUAGUC